rnacentral:rRNA from 1 species
GAUUAAGUGUCGUAAGGGCAUUUGGUGGAUGCCUUGGCAUGCACAGGCGAUGAAGGACGUGAUACGCUGCGAAAAGCCGUGGGGAGCUGCGAAUGAGCUUUGAUCCAUGGAUCUCCGAAUGGGGCAACCCACCUUAAAUGCUUGGGAAAUCUGAUGCGCCGUUGGCGCAUGAGCGAAUAGGAUUUAGCGAAUAGCGAAUAGAAUUCAAAAACUAUUCGCUACUGGCUAUUGGCUAUUUGCUGCGUCGAAGACGCCUCAGGUUUCCAAGCAUUGUGAUAAGGUAUCUGCACCUGAAUACAUAGGGUGUAAGAAGCGAACGCAGGGAACUGAAACAUCUAAGUACCUGCAGGAAAGGACAUCAACCG